CAGCGACGUCCACCCGGGCAUGCCUUUUCAGUUAUGCGUAAGGUUCUUGCCUUGCGCAUAUGACGGGUUUCCUGUGUUGCAUACCUAGUUGACGGAAUUUCUUUGUGAUACCAAUGUCCCUUUUUCGUCUUGUGUCGUCCACACGACGUCGGAUGAACCUCGAAGCGGUCUUUGUGCUCCAUCUUGCCAAUGUAUUUGCGUUGGCCAAAUGGCUCGCAGAGCGUCGCUUGGUCUCGUGGAUGCAGAACCUUAAUCGGGUGCCUGGCUCUUACGGCCUUGUGUAUUCCAUAUCAAGCGUUUUCGCUACUCUUAAACGACUGUCGUUUGCACGUCGACCUGUUGGUGUGCAAACGGCCUUGUCGAAG
rnacentral:misc_RNA from 1 species